rnacentral:lncRNA from 1 species
CUGUGAUUACCAGUGUGAGCCACUGUGCCUGGCCCUUACAAUAUUAAUUAAACAAUGAACUUUAUUUGGAUUUCCUCAGUUUUCCCCACCAGUGCCCCUUUUCUGUGCCAGGAUGUGAUCCAGGACACCACUGUACAUUUUAGUCAUCAUGCCUCCUUUGUUGCCUCAAACUGUGACUGUUUCUCACUCUUUAUCUGUCUUUCAUGAUCUUGACACUUUUAAGAGUAUUGAUCAGGUAUUGUGUAGAACGUCCCUCAAUUCAGAUUUGUUUAAUAUUUCCACAACUUUAGACUGAGGUUGUGGAUCUUGGAGAAGAAUACCAUAGAGGCGAAGCGGCCUUCUCACCACAUCAUGUCAGGGAUGUACACUAUCACUGAUGAUAUUAAUUUCUUUUUUAAUCUUAAUUUUAGUAGAGACAGGGUUUCACCAUGUGUGUCAGGCUGGUCUUGAAUUCCCAGCCUCAGGUGAUCUGCCUGCCUUGGCCUCAAUCUUUUUAUUUUGAAAGUUAGUAAGUAAAGAAAAAGAAUUAAGCAUUUACUCACUUUUAAAACAGAAACUAUUUUCAGGUAACUAAAUCGCCUCUGUUGUCAAAGGAAAUCUCUAAUUUAAGGAAGACUGUCAGUGAGCAAGUGUGGAAGGUAACAUAUAAUUGGAAAAUCAUCAGUUUGCCACCCGUAAGGAAAGUAUUGAUUCAGGAAAGGAUAAAAUCAUUAAAUCGUUAGGUUAAUGGUUGACAGGUACGUUGACCAUUCAUCCCAUUUUGCCAGAGAUGGUCCUAGUUUAUGACUAUUGUCCAAGUGUAAUUAUUAGUAGUGCCCCUUUUAGUCUCAAAUGUGGCAGUUUGGAUUAUAAGUGAUAGGGUCACCCUCCUGACAGGGUACCAACAUUUGUAUGAAACCAAAAUAAUAUCAUGCAGAUAAUAUUCUGAUUAUAAUAAGAUUGAGCUGUCAUCACCUUUAACUUAGCAUCACUUAGGAGGGGACAACCAGAUGUGUCUCCUGUUGUGACUGAAAUUGGAAUAUACAGCAUUACCUAAGAAGUUCCCUUGACAAAAAUGUUCAAUUUAAAUCUGGUCAAAUAUUCAGAUCUAUCUUCCUGCUUAUAGGAAACACAAGGGUUAGAGGAAGCAAUCAGACAGAUCCAGAGGGGAAACAGUCCUGGUCUUCAGCAAGUCCAUAUUAUGAUAAAAGGAACUGUUCUAGAUUAAAAGCUUGAGGCAUAGCAACCAGAUGUACUGCUUGGUUCUGAAUUCGAUACUUAUCUGGCCAAACCAGCUGGAAGGACAUCUUGGGGACAGCUAUCUGAAUGUCGCCUUGCAUCAGUCCUAUCAUCUGUCUGAGCCUCAGUUUCCUCAUUUGUAAAUUGGGGACAAUACAUCCACCUUGCAGGGCUGUUGA